UUUAGUUUAUUGGUUUAAUAUUUCGAGGACGACAAAAAAAUGCAAAUGGUUUUUUUAAUGUUUCAUGACAAAAGUCCUCCGAUUUUAUUUGUAUAAAAUAAACUUGUAUUUCAAUUUUAUAUAUUUGUGCUUCUUAGGCCUUUAAUGGUUCGUACAGUUACUGUACGAUAUGAUAAAGGGCAUAUCAGCAGAAUAGUGGAGAUAAUACAAUCGAGAAGCCCAUUUCGCUCCCUUCUUGGACAUCCUGCUAAACGAGUCCACGCAAGGAAACAGAGCCAUUAUAUAGGGAGGAGGAGCCAUCACCAGUCAUUGCCAAGAUGCUGGGCAACUUCAUGCAGCAUCAGCGGAACAACCCCGUCCCGAAACCCGCUUCCACUGACUCAUGGCCCAUGUUGGCGUAUUGCGAAUCGGAGUUGGACUGCAGUUGGCGCGGAGAAGAUUGCGAAGCAUCAGCGACUC